GUACUCACUUUGGCAGCAUAUAUACUAAAAUUGGAAUGAUACAGAGAAGAUUAGCAUGGCCCCUGCACAAGGAUGGCACACAAAUUCAUGAAAUAUUCUAUAUUAAU
rnacentral:snRNA from 1 species